CACGUAGGGCGCAAGCGUUGUCCGGAAUUAUUGGGCGUAAAGAGCUCGUAGGCGGUCUGUUGCGUCCGCUGUGAAAACUCGGGGCUUAACCCCGGACUUGCAGUGGGUACGGGCAGGCUAGAGUGUGGUAGGGGAGACUGGAAUUCCUGGUGUAGCGGUGAAAUGCGCAGAUAUCAGGAGGAACACCGAUGGCGAAGGCAGGUCUCUGGGCCACUACUGACGCUGAGAAGCGAAAGCAUGGGGAGCGAACAGG
rnacentral:rRNA from 1 species